rnacentral:rRNA from 1 species
GGACGAACGCUGGCGGCGUGCUUAACACAUGCAAGUCGAACGCUGAAGGCCCAGCUUGCUGGGUUGGAUGAGUGGCGAACGGGUGAGUAACACGUGAGUAACCUGCCCYCUUCUUUGGGAUAACGGUCGGAAACGGCUGCUAAUACCGGGUAUUCACUGUCCUUCGCAUGGGGGGUGGUGGAAAGGUUUUUUCUGGUGGGGGAUGGGCUCGCGGCCUAUCAGCUUGUUGGUGGGGUGAUGGCUUACCAAGGCUUUGACGGGUAACCGGCCUGAGAGGGUGACCGGUCACAUUGGGACUGAGAUACGGCCCAGACUCCUACGGGAGGCAGCAGUGGGGAAUAUUGCACAAUGGGCGAAAGCCUGAUGCAGCGACGCCGCGUGAGGGAUGGAGGCCUUCGGGUUGUAAACCUCUUUCGCUCAUGGUCAAGCCGCAGCUUUGGGUUGUGGUGAGGGUAGUGGGUAAAGAAGCACCGGCUAACUACGU